rnacentral:misc_RNA from 1 species
GAUGAAGAACGCAGUAAAAUGCGAUAAGUAAUGUGAAUUGCAGAUCUCGUGAAUCAUCGAAUCUUUGAACGCACAUUGCACCCGGUGGUAUUCCGCCGGGUAUGCCUGUCUGAGCGUCAUUUCUACCCUCGAGCACUGCUCGGUGUUGGCGGAUUGCCUAGCAACCGCUGAAAAUCAACGGCGGUGGCCCCUAUGUCCCUGUAUAGUACUAUUCUUACAGUGGUUAUAGCGGUCUACCAGUCUCCUGUCGGCGCCGUAAGAAGCGCUACACUUUGAACUCGACCUCAGAUCAGGUAGGAAUACCCGCUGAACUUAAGCAUAUCAAUAAGCGGAGGA